rnacentral:rRNA from 1 species
AUUGAACGCUAGCGGCAGGCUUUACACAUGCAAGUCGAACGAGUGGCGGACGGGUGAGUAAUAUAUCGGCACGUGCCCAGUAGCGGGGGAUAACUACUCGAAACAGUUGCUAAUACCGCCUACUAUCGGAGAGGCCGAUAUCGGUUUAGCUAGUGGGUGGGGUAAAGGCUUACCAAGGCAACGAUCCGUAGCUGGUUUGAGAGGACGAGCAGCCACACUGGGACUGAGACACGGCCCAGACUCCUACGGGAGGCAGCAGUGGGGAAUAUUGGACAAGGGGGGAAACCCUGAUCCAGCCAUGCCGCGUGUAUGAGAAGGCCUUCGGGUUGUAAAGUACUUUUAGCAGAGAAGCGUUAUCAGCAGAAUAAGCACCGGCUAACUACGUGCCAGCAGCCGCGGUAAUAC